CAGAAGGGCGUCGACUAACGACAGGACGCUGUUUGAGGUUGUUCGGGCUUCAGGCAGAUGAUUUCAACGAACUCGCCAUCAGUAGGCUUGCCAGACUGCCAGCUGAUGGUUAAAAUAACCGUCUGGCUAAGCAUGUAGAGAUUCUACCGUGCUCCUGUUCGGACCCGGGUUCGAUUCCCGGCGUCUCCACUA
rnacentral:tmRNA from 1 species